ACAGAGCAAUGGAUAGCGUUUUGGACUUCUGAUCCAAAGGUCGUGGGUUCGAAUCCUACCUGAGGUG
rnacentral:tRNA from 1 species